UAUAAAUAGAAAAGGAGAACAGAACAAAGUUUGAGGAGAGAGACUUACAUCACUCACUCCCCCUCCACCCAGAGAGCAGGACGGAGGUGUGAACUUGAGCCAGACCAGAAGGAGCUCGACAGCGGCCACAGGACAAGCCCGAGGAGCAGGCGGGCGCUCCAGGGAAAAACCACGCACAAAACCUUCUUCAGAGAAAAGGGAAGCUCCAAACCUGACUGAGACAAACGGAGGCUCUUGAAAUAAAAAGAAAAUACCGCAGGACAAACAGCCUCCCGUCUCCGGGCGCAGGUCGUGGUCACAGUGGUGACCUGGGAUUGCUUUCCCAGGACUGCGAGUCGGGCUUGGGUUUCUCCUCCCUGCAUUCCACAGCUGCUCUGGUCAUCGCAACGUGUUUAUUGAUCACUGAAGAAUCUCAAGUUUUGAGACGAGGAAGAAACACCCAUUAGGUCUCCAAGACAGCUGUGUUUCACAAACUUUAAGGAGACAGAAAUUUUCUCCCCUGGAACCUGUGAAAAUGUCCCUUUUCCAAGGAAGUGAAGGUUAAGAGGUCUCGUUCUCACAGACCCUCAGGAAUUUCGCUUGGCUCCGAGCUUUGACCUCCGAGAGAGCCAUGGAAAAGCUGCUGCGGCUGUGCUGCUGGUGCUCCUGGCUGCUGCUAUUUUAUUACAACUUUCAGGUGCGUGGCGUCUACUCCAGAUCGCAGGACCAUCCAGAAUAAUGGUGAAGGUGGACACAUUUGCUGAAUAUUUAGGUGUCCUCCAUGAACAAGACAUCCUGCUGCCUGCCUGCCUUCCCUUCCUCCUCACUGUUCCCCUCCUCCCCUUCUCCUGCCUUCUCUCUCACUUUGUUUCCUGUCUCAUUUUCUUUUUUCCAUUUCCCUCCCUCAUUUCCUUCCCUCC
rnacentral:lncRNA from 1 species